GUUCUGCCUGAGCUGUGUGGCUCCUGUCCCUGCCAGCUGGGCCAGGCGGGGCGGAGCACUGAAAGUGGUAUUUGAUUUCCAGUGCUCUCUCCCCUCCUCCCAUUGUUCCUCCAUUCUUCUGUGACCCUCAUCUCAUCAGCCGGCGGGCCCAGGAGAGCUGUCCAGCAGCAGAGGGGAAGGGCAGAGGCCCGCACAGCACCAGGACACCCCGCAUUCCACCGAGCCUCGCCCCUGUCAUCCCCCCUUCAAUGGCCUUUAAGAACCAAGCCCAGCCCACUUCCCAGCUGGGAAGCAAAGCCAGACGACAGGAGGGCAACCAUGGGGACCAGUCUGUAACUGUUUCUUAAGCAACACUUCAUGUUGUUAGGUCUGUCAGUCCCACCCCAAGAGGAAGCCUCAGCUGAUGGGGAAAGACCACGGCCCUGAAUGAGACCCUCCACAUCUGCAGAGGUCAGAGGCAGCCAGAGCAUGCAGCCCGGCUCCAAAUCAGACAUCUCCCACCUGAAAACCCC